AUUGAACGCUGGCGGCAUGCCUUACACAUGCAAGUCGAACGGUAACAGGUCUUCGGAUGCUGACGAGUGGCGAACGGGUGAGUAAUACAUCGGAACGUGCCCGAGAGUGGGGGAUAACGGAGCGAAAGCUUUGCUAAUACCGCAUACGAUCUCAGGAUGAAAGCAGGGGACCGCAAGGCCUUGCGCUCACGGAGCGGCCGAUGGCAGAUUAGGUAGUUGGUGGGAUAAAAGCUGACCAAGCCGACGAUCUGUAGCUGGUCUGAGAGGACGACCAGCCACACUGGGACUGAGACACGGCCCAGACUCCUACGGGAGGCAGCAGUGGGGAAUUUUGGACAAUGGGCGCAAGCCUGAUCCAGCCAUGCCGCGUGCAGGAUGAAGGCCUUCGGGUUGUAAACUGCUUUUGUACGGAACGAAACGGCUCUUUCUAAUAAAGAGGGCUAAUGACGGUACCGUAAGAAUAAGCACCGGCUAACUACGUGCCAGCAGCCGCAGUAAAAC
rnacentral:rRNA from 1 species